rnacentral:rRNA from 1 species
GGAAAGGCUUACGGUGGAUACCUAGGCACCUAGAGACGAGGAAGGUCGCAGUAAGCGACGAAAUGCUUCAGGGAGUUGAAAAUAAGCGUAGAUCCGGAGAUUCCCGAAUAGGUCAACCUUUCAAAUUGCUAUUGAAUCCAUAUGCAAGCAAGAGACAACCUGAAAACUGAAACAUCCUAGUAAUUAGAGGAAAAGAAAACAAAAGCGAUUCCCAUAGUAGCGGCAAGCGAAAUGAGAGCAGCCUAAAACGUGAAAACAGGGUUGUGGGAGAGAAAUACAAGCGUCGUGCUUCUAGGCGAAGCGAUGGCGAAUUUCUAGUAGCCGAAAACCUCACUAGCUUACGCUCUGACCCGAGUAGCAUGGGGCACGUGGAAUCCCGUGUGAAUCAGCAAGGACCCCCUUGCAAGGCUAAAUACUCCUGGGUGACCGAUAGCGAAGUAGUACCGUGAGGGAAGGGUGAAAAGAACCCCCGUCGGGGAGUGAAAUAGAACAUGAAACCGUAAGCUCCCAAGCAGUGGGAGGAGCUCGGGGAUCUGACCAAAUUCCAGUUGAAGAAUGAGCUGGCGACUCAUAGGCAGUGGCUUGGUUAAGGGAAACCCACCAGAGCCGUAGUGAAAGUGAGUCUUCAUAGGGAUUGUCACUGCUUAUGGACCCGUACCUGGGUGAUCUAUCCAUGACCAGAUGAAGCUUGGGUGAAACUAAGUGGAGGUCCAAACCGGCUGAUGUUGAAGAAUCAGCGGAUGAGUUGUGGUUAGGGGUGAAAUGCCACUCAAACUCAGUGCUAGCUGGUUCUCACCGAAAUGCGUGGAGGCGCAGCUGCUGACUAGAUAUCUAGGGAUAAAGCACUGUUUCGGUGCUGGCCGCGAGAGCAGUACCAAAUCGAGGCAAACUCUGAAUACUAGAUAGGACCUCAAAUAACAAGGGGUCAAGGUCAGCCAGUGAGACGAUGGGGGAUAAGCUUCAUCGUCAAGAGGGAAACAGUCUGGAUCACUAGCUAAGGCCCCUAAAUGACCGCUAAGUGAUAAAGGAGGUGGGGGUGCAUAGACAGCCAUAAGGUUUGCCUAGAAGCAACCACCCUUCAAAGAUUGCGUAAUAGCUUAUAGAUCGAGUGCCCUUGUGGCGAAGAUGAACGGGGCUAAGUGAUUUGGCGAAACUAUGGGAUGAAAAAAUGCAUCGGUAGGGGAGCGUUCCGCCUUAGGGGAAAGCACCCGCGUGAGCGGGUGUGGACGAAGCGGAAGCGAGAAUGUCGGCUUGAGUAACGCAAACAUUGGUGAGAAUUCAAUGCCCCAAAAACCUAAGGGUUCCUCCGAAAGGUUCGUCCACGAAGGGUGAGUCAAGGAAUAAGAUCAUGCCAAAAGGCGUAGUCGACAUACAAUAGGUGAAUAUUCCUAUACUACCCCUUGUUGGUCCCGCAGGACGGAGGGGGCUAGGUUAGCCGAAAGGUGGUUGUCGGUUCAAGGACGCAUGUUGUCCCUUUCAGGGUAAGAAGGAGUAGAGAAAAUGCCUCGAGCCAAUGUUCGAGUACCAGGCGCUGAAGUAACCCAUGCCAUACUCCUAGGAAAAGCUUGAACGACCUUCAACAAAAGGGUACCUAACCGACACGUGUGGGUAGAUAGAGAAUACCUAGGGGCGCGAGACAACUCUCUCUGAGGAACUCAGAAAAAUAGCCCGGUAACUUCGGGAGAAGGGGUGCCUCCUCACAAAGGGGGGUUGUGUGACCAGGCUCGGGCGAUUGUUUACCAAACACACAGGUCUCCGUAAAGUGGUAAGACCAUGUAUGGGGGCGGACGCCUGUCCAGUGCAGGAAGGUCAAGGAAGUUGGUGACCUCCGGCGACCCAAGCCCCGGUGAACGGCGGCCGUAACUAUAACGGUCCUAAGGUAGUGAAAUUCCUUGUCGGGUAAGUUCCGACCCGCACAAAAGGUGUAACGAUCUAGGCACUGUCUUGGAGAGAGGCUCGGUGAAAUAGACAUGUCUGUGAAGAUCCGAUGGUGUCGGUGGAAAGACCGUCUCUCAACGGAUAAAAAUUACUCUAGGGAUAACAGGUUGAUCUUCCCCAAGAGAUCACAUCGAUGGGAAGGUUUGGCACCUCGAUGUCAGCUCUUUGCCACCUGGGGCUGUAGUAUGUUCCAAGGGUUGGGUUGUUCACCCAUUAAAGCAGUACGUGAGCUGGGCCCCCGGCAGCACAGCCGAGACAGCGAUGGGUUCUCUGUCCCUGUGGGGAUGGAGCGACGGAAGUUUUGAGAAUUUAAGAAAAGGUCACGGUAUGACGAUCCAUUUAUCAUUACGAUAGGAUUCAAGUGGAAGUGCAACGAUGUAUGCAGCUAAGGCAUCUUAAUAGACCGGCAGACUUGAACCUUGUUCUUACAUGACUCGAUCAAUUCGAUCAGGUACUCGCCAUCUAUUUUUCUUGUUCAAUUCUUUGACAACAUGAAAACACCAAAAGAUCUACCCUC